GACGAACGCUGGCGGCGUGCUUAACACAUGCAAGUCGAGCGGUAAGGCCCUUUCGGGGGUACGACGAGCGGCGAACGGGUGAGUAACACGUGGGUAAGUCUGCCCUCAGCUCUGGGAUAAGCCUGGGAAACCGGGUCUAAUACUGGAUAUGACUCCAUGACGCAUGUUGUGGGGUGGAAAGCCUUGUGCGGCUGAGGAUGGGCCCGCGGCCUAUCAGCUUGUUGGUGGGGUGAGGCCUACCAAGGCGACGACGGGUAGCCGGCCUGAGAGGGCGACCGGCCACACUGGGACUGAGACACGGCCCAGACUCCUACGGGAGGCAGCAGUGGGGAAUCUUGCGCAAUGGGCGAAAGCCUGACGCAGCGACGCCGCGUGAGGGAUGACGGCCUGGUGUAACGU
rnacentral:rRNA from 1 species